AUCCAAUCCAACCUUUAGACUAAAUUGGAAAUCCUUGCUACAUCUAGCUGGUUUUUCUACACUGAGUCCUUUUGAGCCAUUGCUUCUAUUCAUCGUUGUGAGAUGUCUUGGGGAUGAAGCAUGAUUUCAGCGCUCCUUAUUUCCCACCUUCCAGGAUGAGAUGAUCUCUUCAGCUUCAUAAAAAUGAUGUGCUUGCAUAUUUUACCAUAAUAAAAAUUCCAAAUUAAUUGAUAUACUGAAAAUGAAUAAAGAGAUUCAUUAAAUA